CACAUUUUUAUGAAAGGAAAAAAGAAUCCUAGUUGUUAACUAUGGUAUUGUGAUUCUCAUUUGAAUUAUAAUGAAGAAAUGUUUACAUGAUGACAUCACCUUUCUGUUUCUUAGAAUCUAAAUACAUUAUAUAUUUCUCUAUUUCCCUUCUUUCUUUCUCUAUUGAAAAAAUCACAAGACACUUACUUAAAACAUGAAAACUAUAGACCUUGGUUGGACAUCCUUUGUAAUUUAGUGUAGUGUUCCUAUAUUUAAUGACAAAACUAAGUGGGUUGUGUGAUGGGUUUUCAUUUUUUUUAUCUUUUUUGGAAAUUAAAUGCCUUUAUUGAGAAGGCAAAGAUGAAUCCAAAGAGAAGUGACAUCCCAAUAUGCACCACACCAACAAUACCUAGAAAAUCCUGCCUGUACCCAAAAUAAUUUCUUAUAAAUUCUUCUACAGUUUCGCCUGAUUGAAGGGUCUCCUCAACAUCUCCAAACUGAGAAGCAACCAAUCCAUAUAAGGUCCAUGAGACUGGGCAUCCCCAAAAGUACCAUCUCCACCAUAUGGGAAUCCUCUGCCAUUAAUUUACAUCAUGUAGUAAGUUUCAAACUUCUACAAAAAAGCUAUAUGUAAAAAGAAAAGGUAAUCGAGAGUGAUUUUGAAAGGACUAAAAUCACUCCCAAAUAUAUAUGCUUUUAAUUAUUCAAAAUCAAUUAAUUUCAGUAACUUACUGUUCGAGGAAUGAGGAACCCUGAGAAAACGUUCCAUAUUGCAUAGAACGAAGCGG
rnacentral:lncRNA from 1 species